ACGCGCCCGCCCUGGGCCCGGGAGCGUGGCUGGCGGCGGCCGACCUGUUGCCCCGCGGGGGACCCGAGAGAAGAGAUUCCGCCGCCCGCGCGGGACCGACACCAGGAACUGGUGUUUAUAGGCGGUGACUCGCCCCUUCUCAGAGUUGUCCAGAGCCUAACGUCUGCCCAAGGGGCGUCUCUGCUCCCACAGCUGCCUGGGGAGCAGCUGAGUGAAGGGCCUGGUGGAGGAGGAAAGGAAGGAUCUUCCAGGCAGAGGCCCCCAGGGCUGGGGGAGCCCAGCAUGCACUUCUGGUUUGGGGAAGGACGUCUCACCUGGGCACCGAGGUCUCCUGGCAGCGCUGCGAGGGAGCUCUGUUCGCCCACCUGAUGAGGGCUCGGCCCCCCAACCC